rnacentral:rRNA from 1 species
GGAAUUUUGCGCAAUGGGGGGAACCCUGACGCAGCAACGCCGCGUGACCGAAGAAGCCCUUCGGGGUGUAAAGGUCUGUCAGUGGGGACGAAGAAUGACGGUACCCACAGAGGAAGCAUCGGCUAACUCCGUGCCAGCAGCCGCGGUAAUACGGGGGAUGCAAGCGUUGUCCGGAAUCAUUGGGCGUAAAGAGUUCGUAGGCGGUUUGUUAAGUUAGGUGUUAAAUUCCGAGGCUCAACUUCGGUAUGGCACUUGAUACUGGCAGACUUGAAUGCGGCAGAGGUAAAGGGAAUUCCUGGUGUAGCGGUGAAAUGCGUAGAUAUCAGGAGGAACAUCGGAGGCGAAAGCGCUUUACUGGACCGUAAUUGACACUGAGGAACGAAAGCCGGGGUAGCAAAUG